rnacentral:rRNA from 1 species
UAAAGAUUUUAAGGGCGUACGGUGGAUGCCUUGGCGAUAUCAGCCGAAGAAGGACGCGGUAAGCUGCGAUAAGCUACGGAGAGGUGCAAGCAACCUGUGACCCGUAGAUUUCCGAAUGGGGGAACCCGGCAGUGGUUAUGCACUGUCACCCAUAGCUUAGACUAUGAGGAGGGCACCUGGGGAACUGAAACAUCUAAUUACCCAGAGGAACAGUAAUCAAACGAGAUUUUCUUAGUAGCGGCGAGCGAACGGGAAAGAGGCCAAACCGGAGCGGGCAACCGCACCGGGGUUGAGGACAGUCAUCAAGUGUAAAUGAGGUAGAAGAAUCGAGCUGGAAAGCUCAGCCGCAGAAGGUGAAAGCCCUGUAAUCGAAACCUUGCAUACAUGGGACUGUAUCCAGAGUACCACGAGACACGUGAAACCUUGUGGGAAGCAGGGGGGACCACCCUCCAAGCCAAAAUACUGAUAUCGACCGAUAGCGCAUAGUACCGUGAGGGAAAGGUGAAAAGAACCCCUGGCGGGGAGUGAAAGAGAACCUGAAACCGUAUGUCUACAAACAGUCGAAGUCUGUAUAUAUAUCAGGACGACGGCGUGCCUAUUGAAGAAUGAACCGACGAGUUACUGUUGCUAGCGAGGUUAAGUGGAAAACAUGGAGCCGCAGCGAAAGCGAGUCUGAACAGGGCGUUCAGUUAGUAAUAGUAGACCCGAAACCGUAGUGAUCUAUCCAUGGCCAGGUUGAAGCACAGGUAAAAUUGUGUGGAGGACCGAACUCGUGAGCGUUGAAAAGCUUUGGGAUGAGUUGUGGAUAGGGGUGAAAUGCCAAUCGAACACGGAGAUAGCUGGUUCUCCCCGAAAUAGCUUUAGGGCUAGCCUCGAGGUAGAGAGUAUAGGCGGUAGAGCACUGAUCGGGCUAGGGGCCAUACCGGUUACCGAACCUAGUCAAACUACGAAUGGCUAUACUUAUACUCGGGAGUCAGACAGUGAAUGAUAAGGUCCAUUGUCAAGAGGGAAACAGCCCAGAACACCGACUAAGGUCCCCAAUGUUACACUAAGUGGCGAAGGAUGUGGAAUUUCCAAAACAACCAGGAUGUUGGCUUAGAAGCAGCCACCAUUUAAAGAGUGCGUAAUAGCUCACUGGUCGAGAGACUCUGCGCCGAAAAUGUCCGGGGCUAAAGUGUAAAACCGAAGUCGUGUCAUAUGCAGCAAUGUAUAUGGGUAGGGGAGCGUUCUCAUCGGGCUGAAGCAGUACCGUAAGGAGUUGUGGACUGAUGAGAAGUGAGAAUGUCGGUAUGAGUAGCGAAAAGAAUGGUGAGAAUCCAUUCCACCGAAAGCCUAAGGGUUCCUGAGCAACGAUCGUCGUCUCAGGGUAAGUCGGGACCUAAGCCGAGGCGGAAAAGCGUAGGCGAUGGACAACAGGUUGAAAUUCCUGUACCGGUGUGAAUCGUUUGAUCGAUGGAGUGACACAGUAAGGUAGGUCAGCACGCGAUUGGAAGAGCGUGUUUAAGCAGGUAGGUUGAGCUAUAGGCAAAUCCGUAGCUCUAAAAGCUGAGAUGUGAUGACGAGUGACUAGCAAUAGUCGCGAAGUGAUUGAUCCUACACUGUCGAGAAAAGCUUCUAGGUAGAGACACAUCGCCCGUACCAAAACCGACACAGGUAGGCGGGGAGAGAAUCCUAAGGUGCGCGGGAAAACCCUCGUUAAGGAACUCGGCAAAAUGCCUCCGUAACUUCGGGAAAAGGAGGACUCAUGUAGUGUGAAGAGCAGAAGCGCUUGGAGCAUGAAUGAGUGGCACAAGAGAGGCGCAAGCGACUGUUUACCACAAACACAGGUGCCUGCUAAAGCGAAAGCUGAUGUAUAGGUGCUGACACCUGCCCGGUGCUGGAAGGUUAAGAGGAGGGGUUAGACUUCGGUCGAAGCUCUGAAUUGAAGCCCCAGUAAACGGCGGCCGUAACUAUAACGGUCCUAAGGUAGCGAAAUUCCUUGUCGGGUAAGUUCCGACCCGCACGAAAGGUGUAACGACUUGCGCACUGUCUCAACGAGGGACCCGGUGAAAUUGAAGUACCUGUGAAGAUGCAGGUUACCCGCGACUGGACAGAAAGACCCCAUGGAGCUUUACUGCAACCUAAGAUUGAACUUAGUUAAUGAAUGUACAGGAUAGGUGGGAGACGUAGAACCUAGGACGCCAGUUUUAGGGGAGUCGCUGUUGGGAUACCACCCUUUCAUUAAUUGAUUUCUAACGGGCCGAGUAACGACCGGCCGGACAGUCUUAGGCGGGCAGUUUGACUGGGGCGGUCGCCUCC